rnacentral:rRNA from 1 species
AUUGAACGCUGGCGGCAGGCCUAAAACAUGCAAGUCGAGCGGAGCGGCGGACGGGUGAGUAAUGCCUAGGAAUCGGCCUGGUCGUGGGGGAUAACGUCCGGAAACGGGCGCUAAUACCGCAUACUAUCAGAUGAGCCUAGGUCGGAUUAGCUAGUUGGUGGGGUAAAGGCCUACCAAGGCGACGAUCCGUAACUGGUCUGAGAGGCUGGUCAGUCACACUGGAACUGCUACCCGGUCCAGACUCCUACGGUAGGCACCAGUGGGGAAUAUUGGACAAUGGGCGAAAGCCUGAUCCAGCCAUGCCGCGUGUAUGAAGAAGGCCUUCGGGUUGUAAAGUUCUUUCGGUGACGAGGCGUUAAUCACAGAAGAAGCACCGGCUAACUCCGUGCCAGCAGCCGCGGUAAUUC